GUUAAGGUGGCAGAGCCCGGUAAUUGCAUAAAACUUAAACUU
rnacentral:tRNA from 1 species